rnacentral:rRNA from 1 species
GAUUCGGAGGUUGUGCCCUUGAGGCAGUGGCUUCCGGAGCUAACGCGUUAAAAUCGACCGCCUGGGGAGUACGGCCGCAAGGUUAAAACUCAAAUGAAUUGACGGGGGCCCGCACAAGCGGUGGAGCAUGUGGUUUAAUUCGAUGCAACGCGAAGAACCUUACCUGGUCUUGACAUCCACAGAACUUAGCAGAGAUGGUUUGGUGCCUUCGGGAACUGUGAGACAGGUGCUGCAUGGCUGUCGUCAGCUCGUGUUGUGAAAUGUUGGGUUAAGUCCCGCAACGAGCGCAACCCUUAUCCUUUGUUGCCAGCGGUUCGGCCGGGAACUCAAAGGAGACUGCCAGUGAUAAACUGGAGGAAGGUGGAAAUGACGUCAAGUCAUCAUGGCCCUUAUGACCAGGGCUACACACGUGCUACAGUGGCAUAUACAAAGAGAAGCGACCUCGCGAGAGCAAGCGGACCUCAUAAAGUAUGUCGUAGUCCGGAUUGGAGUCUGCAACUCGACUCCAUGAAGUCGGAAUCGCUAGUAAUCGUAGAUCAGAAUGCUACGGUGAAUACGUUCCCGGGCCUUGUACACACGGCCCGUCACACCAUGGGAGUGGGUUGCAAAAGAGGUAGGUAGCUAACCUUCGGGAGGGCGCUUACCAAGG